AACACAGCCAACUCUCCUCCCCAGCUCGGGAAAAUGAACCAAGUCAUGUGACCUGUGGGCCACCACACUGGAUCAGGCCUCUGGUGGAUAAGGAAGAGGCUUGGGCUACCAGAUGGCUAUACAGAGGAAGAAGGUUUCCGUGGGUGAAGUUGAGGAGUUGCUGCUGGUGAGCAGGAACACGGACCCUUGGGAAUGAGAGGCUCUGCUAGCUAGACACUGGGUGAAAGGAGAAAAUGACUAGUUCUCAUGGAGGCGAAGACAAGCCUGAAAACACAACCUGAGCGUAACGGAUGCAGAGCUGUCUGCUUGACUUCGCCGGAAGCCUGGAAAAAAGCUCUGAGGUGUGUCCUACCCUAUGUGUCUCCACGGUGUUGAUUCCAGACGUGCUGCUCUAAGGAGCCCUAACAACGCUGCCCCAGCAGAGAAUGAAAUAUGCAGGAAUCAGUGCACACACCAGUGAAAUGCAGCCAAUUCUGGGAUACAACAUGGUUUAACAGCAUUUGGCAACUGCAAAACCUACAUCCAUCUAACUGAAAUUAAAGGUAGGGGUGUGGAAACUUCCCUAAAAGGGGACACACUGGCAUAUCGUGGGAGAUGCAGUCAUAUCACUGAGGCCAGCAUCCAGAGGAGAAUGGGAGCAUGAACUACAACUUCCAAGAGGCACUAUGAUGGCAAUUCCUAAAUGGACAGUUCCAAUUUUUACCUUUUGAUUGGGAAAAAAAAGUCAAACUUUUUCCACAGGGGAAAGACUCCUCCCCUAAUUCUUUCCAACCAGUUCUAGUGUUUAGCACAGUGUAAAAGACAGUGAUAAACUCCCCACAAACUCUUCCCUCUUAACAGAACUCCACAGCUGCUUUGUGGAGCACUUUGUAGGGCACCCAGGGAAAACUCCUCCAAAAAACUGCACAGGUUUGCAGACUCCUGUACGCUUGGGACAGCAUCCCAUCACUUGGCUAGGUGAGCACAGUCUGGCCUUGGCCCUGCCUGUGCAUCGCUUCCUCGAGUCUAGGAGCAAAGUGUCAUUGUGUGAAGUAGGGACUGGAGUACAUAAAUCUACUCUCCCUUCCCAGCUGCAAAGGAAGCUAGCCAUGGAGUGACAGUUCAGACUAUCUGUGGAUGACCCUGGGUAGGGGACAUCUGCUCACAGCCUGACAGUUAAGGGACUAUACUGUGCCGGGUGAAUGGACAAAAGCUUUGUUGUGUUUGAGCUGGAGAGAGAGGGGAAAAAAACCCAAACACAGAUGGGACUAGUGCCACCAAGUUCUGUGUGAUACAAGGUGCCAUCUGUGAGACAUCGACCUCAAGCCUCAGAGCGACAACUCACUGUAUGCAGAAGAAACACCCCGUUCUCCCCUGCAUACGAGCAAGUACAAUCACUGUGGUACAACAUUUUGGCUGAUACUUGGUUUGGGCUGGGGCUCCGGAGGGGGGAGACUGGUAUUGUGGUCUCAAGGCACAAGAUACGACCUAACCUACCUUAACCCUUAUCUGCCCUCAAAGGAUUAUAAAUUCCUCUGGGUUUUUCUCCUCUCCACCUGCCACUCUGCUAAUCCAUGCAGAAUUUUCCACGAUUUUGUAUAGGUUGUUCUCCAGUCAGUACUGUCUUUUCCCUAGGUUGGCCCUUACCCUUAAGACUGACUCAGGAACUGGCAGCAAAGGAAGGCGGGCCAACUGUAGUGAAGGAGAGAAGGAAGAGGACCAGUCAGAAUUCUGAAUCCUGGCCCGUCCUCAGUUUCUAGCACCAAGAGGCUACCUCUUCCCUGCCACAGUAAUCCCCAGUGGCCAGACCCACCGUGGAAAAUAGACAGUCUUCAAAUGACAGCCCCUUAAGGCUAAACUUGCUUCUUAAGGGUUACGUUUGUCAUCACUCUUCUGAAAAGUCUAACCAUUCCAUAUUUUUAAGCACUUAAACAGAUUCAGAUAAGUGCUUGUUUAUAGGCUUCAUUUUUUCCCAUAGAUCUGCAUACAUAAUUAGCUUUGUUUUGUGAAUCACUGUCUCUACAAAUAGCCCUAGAAGCUAAGAAUAGGAGAAAGGAAUGGCAACAAAGAUCUAUGAUGCAUAGGAAUGCUGCUGAAGCUAGGAGUGGGAGUCUGUUUCUUCGUAGCUAACAGGGGCAGCAGAUUUCGAAUCGCAGGCUGUAAUACUAUCCAGAAAAUGGCUCCAGGAUCCCAGAAACUUUCCAUAAAUACUACACAGCAGGACAGGGACUGACGACAAACACUACAUUCUUCCAAAGCUGAGCUAAGAAUACCCCGUACAGUCGUCAGUACAAUGCAUUGGAGGCACCAAUCGAGUGCAUGCCUAUGAUGCUCUUGGGAAAUGCUGUUUUCAGCAAUUUCUACAAAAAAGACAAGCAAAUAAUUCUUUCCUUUGGUGUCUAUAAUUGUCCUAUUCUUGGAGAUAAAAAUGCUGUGCCAUAAAAGAACAUCUUGGGAUUGUGACAUUUAACUAGAGCAGGAUUCUUAAGCAGAUGGUUUUUGGAACUAUAUUAACACCAUAGCUCUUCAAGACCACACCUUUGUUUUAUGUGCUAGAGUAAUUGCCCACACCCAUAGGUCAGCAGCAGCACUUGAGCAUGGGACCUUUGAUGCCACGGCACACACCUCUAGACACCACUAGCUAAAGGAAAUAUUAUAUGGCAACAGCAGUGAGGCUAAUAGCCGCUGAGGGGGGAUGCAAUACAUACUUUAAGUUUAUUGCUCUAGCAAACGAGAUAGGGUGAGGAGCUCUAUGCAGCCUUCCAACAUUGUGGUCACCCAGACAGUAAUAAGUUUUUUGGAUGGGUGAGUGACAUAUCAAUAUCUUCAUUAUCAUCAAUCUUCACAGCAAAGGGUGGGGGAGCAAACCUUGUUCCUGGGCUCGUAAAUCUUCAGAGCAGCUUUGCAAGGCUGGGUUAGUGCAUUUAGUCCAUCGUUAUUUAAAAAAAUCUCUGCAGAUCAACCCCAGUGUCCAUAUGUGGCUGCCAACUAACAGUGAACUAAAUCCACAAAUGCAUUUCCCAAAGGGAACUUUGUCCAUGUUAAUUGAUGCUCAAAGUUAGCCAAUUGCAGGAUUAGGACCCAUGUAGAGCCAUUGACUCCAGUGGCGUGUCACUUGGGCUCAAGGGUCGGUCUGUGAAAAUUGAAUUCAGGCUCAGGGCCUUAUCAGUUAUUAAAUGCUGAAGAGAUGCUCUGAAGUUGGGAAAUCUAAUAUGAAGAAAAAUGUUUUUUAUAAGUAAGUUUUACAUUCAGUGGAGAAGACCACUUUUGCUUUGAUUGCUCACAUACUGUGGACCACAAGGCACUCUGGCAUUGUGCAGGAGAAUCAGAAAAAUGAAGCUAUCUAGUUUUUCCCCAAGCUGACUGAAACGCAGAAGGCAAACAAACAUCAUACAUGGGUUUUAUAGCUAUUUCAAGUGACAAAAUAACCACUCUAAAUAACUUGUGGUGGAGGGAAAGAAAGGUGUGGGGGGUUUUCCACCCUCCCCAAAAAUGUCAUGCUUGGCAGUAUCCCUUUAAGAAUCCUGUCCCAACAUCUCGCUGAAGUUGAUAGGUUUUGUUCUGUCACUGAAGUGGGCACAGGGGUAUUCUCACCCUUGUGGGUGAGAAGUCGAGGGAAGUACAAACCCUGGGCAUACAAAUACACUGCAACUCCCACAGUGAAAACAGCUUUGCUGAAAGCAACACCCAAUGGGGCAAAUUUGUCCCUGAUAUAAAUCCAUUGGAGUCAGUGGCACUUCACUGAGGAUAAAUUUAAUGCAUUA